GAUGAACGCUAGCGGCAGGCUUAAUACAUGCAAGUCGUGGGGCAGCAUGAGUAGCAAUACUUGAUGGCGACCGGCAAACGGGUGAGGAACACGUACACAACCUUCCUUCAAGCGGGGAAUAGCCCAGAGAAAUUUGGAUUAAUACCCCAUAAUAUAUUUGAUAAGGCAUCUUAUUAAAUAUUAAAGCUUCGGCACUUGAUGAUGGGUGUGCGGCUGAUUAGAUAGUUGGCGGGGUAACGGCCCACCAAGUCUACGAUCAGUAGCUGAUGUGAGAGCAUGAUCAGCCACACGGGCACUGAGACACGGGCCCGACUCCUACGGGAGGCAGCAGUAAGGAAUAUUGGAC
rnacentral:rRNA from 1 species